AACUUUUUGUACUAACUUGUGUUUUCAUCAUUACAGACAUAAGUUCUGAAGGUGUGGGCUUACAAAUUGCAGCACCUCCUGUUGAUGGUGAAGCUAACACUGAGUUAGUGAAGUUUCUUUCUUUUUCUCUAGGCGUUCGUAAAAGCAAUGUUGUUCUGGAAAGGGGCUCUAGAUCACGACAGAAGACUGUAAUCGUUUAUAGCUCCUCUCUACAAGAUGUUGAAAGAAUUCUUCAUUCAAUGGCUGAUAAAAAAUAAAUACUAAUGAGGUUUUGAGGUUGAGUUUCACAAGUGGUCUACCAAAUUGUCUCUCAUGAGUCUGCACAGUUUCCAAGUGUUAACAACACUUGGAAACUGUGCAUCCAGCUGACAGAUGAAGUGUACUGCCAACAGCUUACUACAUCUAAUUUUUUUUAUUAUUUGUCAUUUUAGGCUCAGGGUGAUGCUUGGUAAUUUUCAUGUUGAUUAUUGAUGUACAUCCUGUAAAUGGUUUUAGAAUACAUAAUUCAGAUAGGUUUAGCCCUCUGCUCUCCUUGUUCUGCAAACUUUUGGCAAUUCUCCUUGGAUUGUUUUACCAUGAACUAUGUAUCCUAGGUCCUGGCAAGAUUGGAGGUUAUUGUUAUUAGUAGAAAAGAGUUGCAAUAUCAGAACAAGGGGAAAACAGCAAAAUCGUCAACUUACCUUUCCGAUGUUAUGUCAAAGUCUAAAAUUUCCAGUAAUUUUAGUUUGGUAUAACGUAGAUAUGGUAUGUUGAUUAUGUUUUUGCUGUUGUUCCUUUUUCUCUCGAUAUCAGUCACUUUUUAGUCUUCAAUUAAUUACAAAUUUGAAAUAAAAAAUGACAAUGCAUUACCUAUCUCAAUGCCUACAAAAUUAGGAGUACUUAAUUUCGAGUUUAUUUUUAAUAGCUCCUAAAUGUAAGCAUGAAUUUAUUGCAAAUGGUAAUAUUUAUCUUCCAGAGGUAUUUAACAAUGUAGUUAUUAUUCUGAGUAGUAUAUGGAUAAGGUGCACCAAAGAGUAAGAUAAGCUUAUAAAUAGAAUAAAAGAAAAAGAACCCUUUCUUAAGGAUGAUGAACAUCUAAUGAUUCUCCAGACAUGCCAAAACAACACUAAUUCGUUGAACACCUGCCUCAAAAAUUGUUAGAGUCUGUGCACAUAAAACACAUUGAAUGUUAUGUAGAUCUGGAAAGUCAGAGUAAAACCAGCCAAGUAUUUACAAAUUACCAUGUGCUAUAACAAGCAACAAGGUUAACAUUUGCAAAUCAGUAGACUUUGAAAGGAGAAAACUGGAACACACAGAUGCUAUUAGAAGGGGAGAAGAAACCAGUGCUGUUUUUUAACAUAAGUCACAAGAAAAUCAUCCAGUACAUUUUUAUGACAUUGGGGGAUUUGUAAUAGGUACACUUAGACAAUAACUUGCAGACGUUAUUCGCAUUCAUAACUAAAAAUGUGGGCAUUUAUCAAAUUGAUUUUAAAUUUGUUGGAUAUUUACAAUAUUAAUGUAACAAGUAUACGUAGAUAGGUUAUUAAAAUAAACAAACCUAACUGAGUGUUUUGUUUUUCAGCUGUUGAGACUGAAUUAUGAUAAUACUGUUGGUUUUCUCUGUUAUGCAAACCUUUAUAUUUGAAAAAAAAAUUCUAACCUCUUGGCUGUGCCGGGAAGGAGUGGGAAUGCAGUGUGGGAUGGGGGGGUUGGGGGUUGGGAGCAGGUGUUUGACUUCGUUAGAGGUUUUUGAUUUUAUGUGUUCUACGUUUAUACUUUUUCCACAUUUUAUUAAAGGAUAUGUACAGCUCGGUGUAACUUCUAAUGAAAUACAUCAAGCACAAAGCAUAGAAAAGGAGAUAAUAGUA